UAGACCUGAAAAGGUGCAAGAAGCACAGAUUACCUGUAACAGAUCAACUAUUUUACAAACUUUUUAUGAUCACAGUUUGAAUUAAAAAUAACUUUGUUUUUGGCUCAACACAUGUUAGAUUCCCAUGUCUUUGCUGUUGUUGCCGUUAAUGAAAUCCCUUCUCACUUUACAGCACACUUUGCAGAAGGAAACAAGUUUCUAGGCAUACAAAUUUAAACACUACUAAACACCUCUAGGAAAAAUCACCUCAACAUGGCUAACACACUACUGGAUUCACAUAUCUGAAGUAGUUUGCCAGUGCAAAAUCUCUGAAUGGGAAACAUCUUUGCCACCUUUCUUUUUGCAGGACUCCACAUGCCUCAGCGAGAAGCUUCCCUGGUGAUAUCAAGAGAGUGCAAUGUUUACAGCCCUAAGUUUAUUUUUGAAACUGAUUGUUUCAUUAAACACACAGACAACUAUAACACGGAGAACCAAAAUUCCUGUUACAAAUCAGAUAUUCCCCAAAUACCAAAAUAAUAUGAAACAUUUUAGUUCUUUCAAUACAAAUCAUUAACAACUUUAACUGUGCAACAAUAUCAACAGUCUAUGAAGUUUAAUACUCUUUCAAGAGCCACUCAGCAUGACUGGAACUCCACACAACUAAGCAGACAGCUAACAUCCAAGCAAUUUAUAGUACAGCAAGCAGAAGCUGAUUUAAAAAACCCCAAGUUUCUUCAAACAUAGGAGGUGCAAAAGAUCUGAAGAUCUAGCUUUUAUAAAGAGACUUUUUUUCUCUUCUUUGCACUACUAGUCUUUCUUAACCAUUUCUCUUCUACCCUUAUAUUCACUACUAAUAGAGAACUGUUAGCAUAAGAGAAGGAGGUAGAAAAUCCAACUCCUUAUUUCAUGUUCAUCAGAUAUUGCAGUCACAAAUAAACAGACGGCUUACAGUUCAUGGCAAGCACAUCUACAAACAUUUCCUUGCUCCUGAAAAACUGUGAUUUCUACAAAGAAAGUAUAUCCCCUCCUAUGAAAACUCCAAAAUGUGCUCACAGUUAUGGUCUGUAUCAAGAUAUAAACAAUUUAGGUAUCAGCAUAAACAUGAAAAUGACUACACAAAAAGGAUACAGAAGUUUUGUUUAAAUGGACAGAUCAUUCAAGACUUUAUGUCUCCCAUUUCCAAGGUUUAGGGUUAUGGAAUUAGAUAAAUUGUAGAAUUUACAUAAAGAGAGCAAACUAAGAGCUGAGGGGAAGAGGAGGUAAAUGAGAAUUUAGGAAUACAUCUGUUUUCUUUUUCAGGGAGAUUAAACUGUCAUUAAGACAACAUUAAAAAACAGAGGUUUGCCCUACAGCUCUUGGCUAAAACCUUGUGUGGUUUUUUACUAUUUUAAGACGGGAAAAAAUGUGAGAGAAAUGAGGUUUUGGUUCAUCUAUAUCAAAAUUAGAAAGGAUUUCUCUGUGGCCAAAAUGAAGACGUCUAUUAUAUCUUCAUGCACACAAUAGUCUGCAUUUGCAGAAAAUCUGAGAAUGAAAAUUUUUUCUGCAUUCUAUGGUCCUCCUCAUUUUCAUACACAGACAUCACUGCCGUAGGGAAAGGUGAAAUAGUUUGGAGUCAAGAAACUUUGCAGGUAGGUAAAAGCACAACAACUGAAAAUUUCCAAAAUAGCAAUCCUCGUUUUGAAAGGUAUUACCUGCUCUUUCAUAACCAGAGAUACCAGAGAAUCAUGUUAAGAGGCAAGCUCUAUUGACAGCAGCCUGGGGGCAUCUGGCUGAGGGCGAAGACCUUGCUGCACAAAGCCAGUGUCUCCAGAGAUGGGCAGCCUAUCUUGGCCUCGUGCUCCUCUGUGUGCCACCAUUCCUUUAGGGCUCUUACCUUCACCACUUUCCAUGCCUUCUACAAAAAUACCACCACACUGGGGCAGGAUCCAGUACCGGCGCCUGUAACGGUCCUGACCAAACAUCAUUGAACGCAAACAGUGCGAAGCUUCAAAUAACUUCUUUCUGUACUGGCUUUGUUGCUAUUUAGAAAAGGGAGAGCAUUAUAAAUCAGUGGGGGUUGCGGGGGGAAUCUCAUUAUUACAGAAAACAUCUGGCUGCCAGACUGAACAGGAGUUCAAGGGUCAGACAAGGAGGCCCUCUCAGAGACUCGGGAUAGUGGUGUGUCUGUGUGUUGUGAUAUUCUACUCACAGUUGCUGCCUUGAUGAUUUUACUUACAAAGCUUCCUUAAAAAAAAAAUCCAUUAAAGCACGCCCUGGCUCAGCCUAGGAUUAUCCACUAAAAACUCACUGCAGUGGCACACCUUGUCUUUUAAUCCCUGACUCUCAAAAAGCAGUAGAUUAAACAAAUAUAUCAUUGCACGAGAACAGCUGAAAUCCUAACAAUUACACAGCAUCAGCAAGUGGUAAACAGAGCCCUGAAGACAGAUGUUAAUGCAGCUUUUGAUGGGAGACUGGUGAGAUAAUUUAACUGUUCAUAAAAGAAUGACAACAACAAUACACAAAAAUAAACUCUGUCUUUGAACAUAAUACAGCUCUUUGAGGGGGGGGCAACAAGAACUUCAGUUAGUUUAUUCAAUUCUUCCUCUGCUAAACUGACACUGAUGGAAGUCAGGUGGAAUCUUGGACUGCUAAUUUACUGCAAUUUGGAACAUGAGAGAAACCAACACACGAAGUCCUAAAUGACAAAUUUUCUAAUAGGAACAAUAAAAACAUAAUUAGAGUACCCCUAAUUAUAUCAUUACAUCUUUCUCAUUUACACUUCUCUUUCUAUUUUAUUGCUGCUUCUUUCAUAAUGUGAAGCCCAGACAGUUCUGUAUUGGCUUGGAGCACAAUGGCAGAAAUCAGCAUGGAAAGGAGGGCAUGAGAACAACAAUCCAUUGUAUAACUGAAGCCAUUGCUUCUCAUAUACAAAACUUGUCAUCACUUUCUAAAAUCAACAAACAGGAAUAUGUGAAGUAGAUCUGGAUAAAAAAUACAUUAUUCUCUGAAGUGCAAAUAUAUUAUCAACUAUUACUAUUAACUGCUUUUUGAGUGACCUCUACUUAGUGCCACCAGACUAAACUCACAGUUCAGGUGCCAUGAAUCAGAGCAUUAUUCAUACUUUCACAAAACAAGAGUAGAUACUUAUUUCAGUUUAUAUUAACUUGGAGCAUUGAAAUUUAUGUUUAAUAUACUAACUCAUAACAUCCAGUGAUCACAUUUGUAGUAGAAAAAAGAGUAAUGAUCUCUUACCUUCGUCAGUUUUUCAAUCUGCUUCUCUAAUUCUUCAACACUUGCUGUCUGAUCCCCAUCAUCCUAUAAUCACCAAAUAUACUGUCACAUCACGUUUAUUUCAGGAUAAAAUCAUACUACUAUAUCUUAUCAUUAUUGCAGGAAAAAGAUGUAACAGAAAAUGAGAGGAAAAUACUAAAGAGAAAAAAUAAGUUCAAAUUGUGUGCUUGUGGAAUAUAUUUCACUAGCAACAACACAACUGAAAAGAGGAUACACCUUGAAUGUUUUGAAACCACCCACGUGUGGACAAAGAAGAAAGCUCAUGUUUGCUGAAAACUGGAAGUAACUCAGUUUGUCCAUGAACACAACACUAUAGAAUUUAAUCUUAGUUUCUACGAAGCUUUUUAGACAGAUAAAAUAAUUUUAAGAGUUCCUCAUGCAUGAAAUAAUGGCAUCUUCAAAUCCUAUUGGUAAGUCUUUGGUCAGUCCACAUUUGCAUUUCAUUUCAAUGUCUACAUGAAAUUGUAGAGCCACUUUAAAUUAUAAUUCUGCUAUAAAAGUCACAGCAUCAAUCCUGCUGAUUUUUGAAGAGGAAUGCAUUCAUGAUUAAGUCUGUGGUUGCCUUCUUCUUGCCUGUUUAGAGUCUUUUCCAUGAUGAGAGUUUUCAUUUAAUUGAAGAAAAUCUUUGUAGAUAGUAGUAAGUUUCCAAAAGAAUAUGGUCAAAAUCAUCCCCACUGUAAGAUACAAGUCUUGUAUUUCUUGGCUUCAUAAAAGUGUACCCAAGUAAGCCACCUGAAAUACUACAUAGACUACAAAUGCAAUGGAACUUCUGGUAGAUCAGAAAAUUAAUUUCUGUACAGUUACUGGAAUUUUGUCCAUGAAACACCCAGUGCACCAACAUAGGAGAUUGUACAUGAGGAAAAAGGAUUAAGGGAUGGACUUGAGAUUAGAAAUCUAAAUAUUACUAUUUUUUAAAUUCUGAACUAUUUUUAAGAACUUUGGGCUGUUCCUCUAAGGUAUUCUCUUAAAUUCAUACAAAUGAUAGUACUUGAAAUAAAUCCACAAUAACAGCACAGAGGGCUAUUCCUACACCAGAAAUUAGCUGGGUUUCUAAAUAAGGGUGUAUGCAAACAUCUGAGUUCACAUAUGUUGGAUACAUGCAUUGUUCAAGCAGUCUUAAAAAUCCUCAAACCUUGCAUGAAUGGAUCAUUUUCUGGCAAACAGAAAACACCCAGUGCAGCAUCAAGUGCUUUAAAACAUAGUAUUUUCUAUUACUUGUGCCUUGCAUCAGGUUCCAUCCAGUGGAAGUCUGUGCAUUUCCAUUAAAAACCAGCUCAACAAGGUAAAAAUCUUUCAUUGAUACUUCCUCUAUUGUAUCUGACACUGACAAACAAAAUUUAUCACCUUGUGAUCAAAUAAAGUCAGGCAGUGACUAUGUGGGGGAAGUUGUGAAAAAAUGCACAAGAAGAUCACUCAAGCUUCAAAAUAGAGAAUGUGAAAUGUAACUGCAUUGUUAGUUAUUCAGUUAACAAAAUAAUAAAAACUAAUAAAAAUUUUAAAAUGUUAGAAGUAAAUUAUUCUUCCCUCCUUUUUAUGGCAAGAUUUUUGGGAAACAGUGCCAUAUUACAGAAAAACAGAAGGAAAACAAGUUUUAGCUCAUUUGCAAACGAACUUUCACUAUACUGACAAUUCCCCACCUCAUCGUCGCAUACUUCUGCCUUUUUUCCUUUUUUAUCAUCUUUGUCCUCUUCAUCCUCAUCAUCCUCAUCUGCCUGAUCAUCGCUGUCAUCAUCAUCAUCAUCGUCGUAGUCACUGUCCCCUCCCUUCCGCCGGCGCUUGCGGCUGGGUGCAGGUGUCUCCAAGGAAUGGGGUUCCUCGCCUCCAUCUCCACUCCCCACAGCAUCUCUUUUACCAGUUUUCUUGGCAUGAAUGAU